rnacentral:rRNA from 1 species
UACGUAGGGGGCAAGCGUUGUCCGGAAUCAUUGGGCGUAAAGAGCGUGUAGGCGGCUUGGUAAGUCCGCUGUGAAAGUCCAGGGCUCAACCCUGGAAUGCCGGUGGAAACUGUCAAGCUUGAGUCCGGAAGAGGCGAGUGGAAUUCCUGGUGUAGCGGUGAAAUGCGCAGAUAUCAGGAGGAACACCGAUGGCGAAGGCAGCUUACUGGGCCGAUACUGACGCUGAGGAGCGAAAGCGUGGGGAGCGAACAGG